UACGUAGGGGGCAAGCGUUGUCCGGAAUCAUUGGGCGUAAAGCGCGUGUAGGCGGCUCGGUAAGUCUGCUGUGAAAGUCCAGGGCUCAACCCUGGGAUGCCGGUGGAUACUGUCGGGCUAGAGUGCGGAAGAGGCGAGUGGAAUUCCUGGUGUAGCGGUGAAAUGCGCAGAUAUCAGGAGGAACACCUAUUGCGAAGGCAGCUCGCUGGGACGUAACUGACGCUGAGACGCGAAAGCGUGGGGAGCAAACAGG
rnacentral:rRNA from 1 species